rnacentral:rRNA from 1 species
UUGUGUGGUUUUUCUAUUGUAUAUUCAUGUUUAGAUCAUCUGAUCACCAAAGUUAAGCAAUGUCGAGCCUUGUGAGUACUUAGAUGGGUGGCCACUUGGGAAAUCUAGAUGCUGUAAGCG